rnacentral:tRNA from 1 species
GGAGGCGUGGCUGAGCGGCUGAAGGCAUCGGUUUUGAAAACCGACGUAGGGGCAACUCUACCGGGGGUUCGAAUCCCUCCGCCUCCG